rnacentral:rRNA from 1 species
AUUGAACGCUGCGCAGCUACACAUGCAGUCGAGCGGUAGCACAGAGAGCUUGCUCUCGGGUGACGAGCGGCGGACGGGUGAGUAAUGUCUGGGAAACUGCCUGAUGGAGGGGGAUAACUACUGGAAACGGUAGCUAAUACCGCAUAACGUCGCAAGACCAAAGUGGGGGACCUUCGGGCCUCAUGCCAUCAGAUGUGCCCAGAUGGGAUUAGCUGGUAGGUGGGGUAACGGCUCACCUAGGCGACGAUCCCUAGCUGGUCUGAGAGGAUGACCAGCCACACUGGAACUGAGACACGGUCCAGACUCCUACGGGAGGCAGCAGUGGGGAAUAUUGCACAAUGGGCGCAAGCCUGAUGCAGCCAUGCCGCGUGUGUGAAGAAGGCCUUCGGGUUGUAAAGCACUUUCAGCGGGGAGGAAGGCGGUGAGGUUAAUAACCUCAUCGAUUGACGUUACCCGCAGAAGAAGCACCGGCUAACUCCGUGCCAGCAGCCGCGGUAAUACGGAGGGUGCAAGCGUUAAUCGGAAUUACUGGGCGUAAAGCGCACGCAGGCGGUCUGUCAAGUCGGAUGUGAAAUCCCCGGGCUCAACCUGGGAACUGCAUUCGAAACUGGCAGGCUAGAGUCUUGUAGAGGGGGGUAGAAUUCCAGGUGUAGCGGUGAAAUGCGUAGAGAUCUGGAGGAAUACCGGUGGCGAAGGCGGCCCCCUGGACAAAGACUGACGCUCAGGUGCGAAAGCGUGGGGAGCAAACAGGAUUAGAUACCCUGGUAGUCCACGCUGUAAACGAUGUCGAUUUGGAGGUUGUGCCCUUGAGGCGUGGCUUCCGGAGCUAACGCGUUAAAUCGACCGCCUGGGGAGUACGGCCGCAAGGUUAAAACUCAAAUGAAUUGACGGGGGCCCGCACAAGCGGUGGAGCAUGUGGUUUAAUUCGAUGCAACGCGAAGAACCUUACCUGGUCUUGACAUCCACAGAACUUUCCAGAGAUGGAUUGGUGCCUUCGGGAACUGUGAGACAGGUGCUGCAUGGCUGUCGUCAGCUCGUGUUGUGAAAUGUUGGGUUAAGUCCCGCAACGAGCGCAACCCUUAUCCUUUGUUGCCAGCGGUUAGGCCGGGAACUCAAAGGAGACUGCCAGUGAUAAACUGGAGGAAGGUGGGGAUGACGUCAAGUCAUCAUGGCCCUUACGACCAGGGCUACACACGUGCUACAAUGGCAUAUACAAAGAGAAGCGACCUCGCGAGAGCAAGCGGACCUCAUAAAGUAUGUCGUAGUCCGGAUUGGAGUCUGCAACUCGACUCCAUGAAGUCGGAAUCGCUAGUAAUCGUAGAUCAGAAUGCUACGGUGAAUACGUUCCCGGGCCUUGUACACACCGCCCGUCACACCAUGGGAGUGGGUUGCAAAAGAAGUAGGUAGCUUA